UUUUUGGUCUGUCUUUUCUUUCAAAACUUUUACGUUUGGCUGCCAAGUUCUAUCAGUUUCAGAUUUUUCACUCGACCGUUUUCGGGAUCGUCGAGGAAGUUUGUCAGGCAGACUGACAGACUCUUCACUUUUCAUGGUGAUGAAAAGUAUUGCGAACAAACCAUUUUUCCAGCUCAUUU